rnacentral:lncRNA from 1 species
GUCACGUCACGUCAAACUAUUCCAGUCGCGUUUUUUGUAUGUGUUUUGUUUAUUUUCUACUCUAUGAUAAUUCUAUUUUAAAAUUAAUUAAUAAAGUUAAACAAUUCUUAACUUUGGAUGUAUCUGUCAGAUAGCAUGUCAAGAAGUGCGGUUCCUUCUUAAGAGCAGUUGGGAGAGCAGCGAUGGCUUGCGACAGGACAUGCACGAGCAGCCAAUGACAGGGACCGUACUAAAUUUGCUAAAGAAGACAUUGCUGUUAAACUAAACAGUGAUGGUCGUGACUGGUUAAAAACAUGGCAGCAAUGGUCUAAGUUCCACGCCGUCAUUUAACUGCACUAUGACGACACUUACUCCGAUGCUCACCUUCUUCACAGCGGCAGUCUCAACUGAGAAGUCUCACAGAGAGAUUUGUCACCAUAAAAGAGCACUGAGUAGAGACAGAAAGGAUCUUGGCAGAGAACCAGCGAGCCUUAGUUCAAGCCUUACAACAAAUGAAUGAUGCAUGGCUAAAACAAAGUCAAUCUUUAUCAGAUUUAGUUCAAAAAAUAAAAAAAUAAAUCUUUGGUACAGCAUUUUUAUUUCAACUUAUUUAUUCAUUUAGAAUUAGAAUAUUGUUUUAAGUAAACUUAAUUACAAAUGUUUUUGAAUAGUUCUUAUUUAUGAUUCCACCACCCAUUCGGAAUGCAAUUUCAGCAGAGAAGAACAGGCAAGAAACUCAAUUGUUGCUUUUUUAAACAAAAGGAAAUUU